UCAAAAGUAGGAUCGUAUGAAUUUGCUAAUACGUUUUACAGGAUACUUGGAUUCCUUGUCUUCAAAUUGUGAAUUAGCACGGGAAUUGUCCUAAACCUGUAAACCUUGUACUGCACCUCUCCUGUUUCUUUUUUUUUUUCCCCCUCCUUGGCACUGCGUUCCUCAACCCAAUGUUUUGGUGUGAUAGUAGUCCUGGUCAGAUUCUGUCUAUUUGACUUUUAUAAGUCAACUGGACGGAAAAUAAUGGAAAGGACCGUGUCUUACACGUUGUCUUCAAAUUGUGAAUUAGCACGGGAAUUGUCCUAAACCUGUAAACCUUGUACUGCACCUCUCCUGUUUCUUUUUUUUUUUUUUUUUCCCCUCCUUGGCACUGCGUUCCUCAACCCAAUGUUUUGGUGUGAUAGUAGUCCUGGUCAGAUUCUGUCUAUUUGACUUUUAUAAGUCAACUGGACCGGAAAAUAAUGGAAAGGAC
rnacentral:lncRNA from 1 species